GAGGCGUUGGUGUAGCGGUAGCACGGCAGGUUGUGGACCUGUUAGCGGGGGUUCAACUCCCCUACGUCUCC
rnacentral:tRNA from 1 species